rnacentral:rRNA from 1 species
CACGUAGGGCGCAAGCGUUGUCCGGAAUUAUUGGGCGUAAAGAGCUCGUAGGCGGUCUGUUGCGUCCGCUCUGAAAGCCCGGGGCUCAACCCCGGGAGGCGGGCGGAUACUGUCGGGCUAGAGUCCGGAAGAGGCGAGUGGAAUUCCUGGUGUAGCGGUGAAAUGCGCAGAUAUCAGGAGGAACACCGAUGGCGAAGGCAGCUCGCUGGGACGGUACUGACGCUGAGGCGUGAAAGCGUGGGGAGCAAACAGG